rnacentral:rRNA from 1 species
CUCCUACGGGAGACAGCAGUGGGGAAUCGUUGCACAAUGGGGGAAACCCUGGAUGCAGCGACGCCGCGUGAGCGAUGAAGCCCCUCGGGGUCGUAAAGGCUACUUUCGGCAGGGAAGAUUAUGACGGUACCUGCAAAAGCAAGCUGCGGCUAACUACGUGCCAGCAGCCGCGGUAAUAC